AUUGAACGCUGGCGGCAUGCCUUACACAUGCAAGUCGAGCGGCAGCGCGGGGGCAACCCUCGGCGGCGAGCGGCGGACGGGUGAGUAAUACAUCGGAACGUGUCCUUUCGUGGGGGAGUAACCAGUCGAAGACUGGCUAAUACCGCAUGAGAUCUCACGAUGAAAGCGAGGGACCCGAGGGUAACGUUCGGGCCGUCGCGCGAUUGGAGCGGCCGAUGCCGGAUUA
rnacentral:rRNA from 1 species